AGACAAUGAGGUUUUAAAGAAAAGAUACUCAAAAUACUGUUUUAUAUUGCCUUAUUACUAAUUUUUCCCUCAUCUUGCUAAGAACGCUUUUGACUUUGUAAAGGGAACUGAAUUGAGUGAAGCCCUUGAAGAAUGUAACAUGGCAUUGUAAUCUAAAUUCCAUUUGAUCUCAAAUCCAUUCAGGGGAAUUAUACAGAGUUCUUCAUAAAUUGAAACAUUGUGGUCUUUUUCAGUGAAACGGAAUUGAGUUGGAAUGGAAUCUCACUUGCUACCGAUGAACUAGUGAUAUAUACAAUAUGAGAUGAGAAUAGGGUAAAAACUAAAAUUGUUUAAGGAUUUUCACUCUGUGCUGCUGUAAAGAAACCAAUGUGUCUGAGCUUUUGCCUUUAAAGGCAGCAAAGGACUAGGAUUUGCUAAGGCGAAGGGAUUUGCGAGGGGAUUAAUAUCUAAUCAUUUACAAAACGUAACUCUUUCAAUAUUUCCUUGUAAAUGAAACCAUAACAAAAUUCCCAUUUUGUCCCCCUCAUGUCUUUAACUAACCAUGAGGCAGUCUCAAAGCCGAGACAGGUCAUUGCUUCCCAAAUGACAACCUAUGAUGAAGAGUGCAAUUUGGAAAGCACCUGUUCAAUUAAACACAUCAGAGAAAAUCUCUGUGUCAUUUUCUCAAAAUAGGCCCCCUAUUGCCUGUCUAGGGUUCUUCCCUUGGCCCGUGGUCAAACUGAGUGCACUAUAUCAGGAAUAAUGUGACAUUUAAAAAUGUAACCUUAGGACAGUUUUAGUUCACUAAGCUGAGCUCAUUGCAUUUGACAUUAAAGCGUGUCCACUAGAUACAAUUAACACUGAUCAAAGGGGACAGAAUCACUUCUUUAAACCUCCUUUAAUACUCAAUACUAAAGUGAUAUACAUUCUGUAGGUAAGAGAGACAGACUGAAAGAGACAGAGAGCAAGAGAAAGAUGGUACAGAAGAUCAUGAAAGGGGGAGGGUAUACCUAAAACAUCACUUCAACCUUUAAACAGAUUAGCUUUUUGUUAUUGUGUUUUUUAGAAACAUAUUUUAUCAAGGGAGAGGGAGGGAAAAAGAAAGGGAUUGAAUGAAAGGGGGGAGAGAGAGACAAGACUGUCUACUGCACGUUUCUGUGUACCUGCAUCUAAAAUGUGUUGCUUCUCUUUGAUGAACUGAACAAGCAUUAAAAAACGUAUAAAAAAACAAAACCUAAAAGAAGUUAAAGAUAACUUUGUAGACGUACCAGAAAAAAAGCUACUUGGAGUCUUGUACAAGGAUGUUAUUCUGAUCUGUGUGCUUUAUUUCUAGAUGCACCUUGUACCUAUAUCGUAAUAAACAUGUGUAUUGCUGAUUGUAAAUAACGCAUGUAUCCAUGACGACUAGUUUUGCUACACAGAGAGA
ensembl:lncRNA